rnacentral:rRNA from 1 species
CAUGUCCUACGGGAGGCAGCAGUGGGGAAUAUUGGGCAAUGGGCGCAAGCCUGACCCAGCAACGCCGCGUGAAGGAAGAAGGCUUUCGGGUUGUAAACUUCUUUUCUCAGGGACGAAGCAAGUGACGGUACCUGAGGAAUAAGCCACGGCUAACUACGUGCCAGCAGCCGCGGUAAUACGUAGGAUGCGAGCGUUAUCCGGAAUUACUGGGUGUAAAGGGAGCGCAGGCGGGACUGCAAGUUGGAUGUGAAAUACCGCAGCUUAACUGCGGAGCUGCAUCCAAAACUGUAGGUCUUGAGGGGAGG